UUUUCAUUGGAUGUUUCUAAUUAAAAAGAAGAAAGCUCCACUUCGUUUUGAGCCAGCAAUAACUUGCCUUCAUUGCACCUUUGAUAUCCUUCACAGAAGCAAUUAACAAACAAAAAUGGACAUUGAGUCAGCCACAAAAAGGAGGUAGAAAGAUGUUGUCAUUGAGUGGCAGUGGAACAACAUAUGUCAAGAGUUAUAGAGAACUGAGUGCUGGCAGUUGGUGGGGAAAGUGGAGAGUUGCAGAGAUGAGCUUGUUGGAAGUCCAACAUCAGAAUGGAGGGCAGAAGGAGGCUGGAGGUGAAAGUUCAUGUGAUAAAACCCCAGGAAUAUGUUCAACCACCACUGGCCACUGAGGUACCUGGGAGCAAAGUAGGAGUGGUAUACUAAAGUGUCAAUGAUCAACCUCAAAAUGAAUGAGAAAGUCAAUAUAGUACCUGCCUCUCAGUUCAGCUCUGCUGCUAAACAUAAGGGAGCUUCAAUGGCCACACCCAGACCCCCCAUUUGGGGAAUGAAAAUAAAAACAUCAGGGUUCCAAUGACUGAUCCAGGGACUAGUAUUGACAUGUGGUUUUGUAUAGUGAAAACAACAUUAAGCUCAGCAAUGAUGUUCCUGCAAUGAUAAAAUAUUCCAUCACUUACUAGAAACAAAUGUAAUACUGCAGGGAUUCUAUGAUCAGUAUGCAUCCUGGGAAACAGACCGUACAGCAAAAGUCCUGCAUCACUGAGCUAUUCAGGAUGAACUUGGAUGAAAACCACUGCAUCUUUCUCUAGACUUCCUUUGCAAAGGCAUGUUCCAGAAGGAGAUAUGUGUCCGUCUCUAAUCCCUCGUGACUGAUUUAAGGACAGUAUGCAGUGGCGUAGACAGACCAGGCAUACAAGAUUCUCACAGGUAGUGCCCUUCUCACUGCCAGCUCAGUUAGUCUUUUGAGAUAGUGGGAAAAUAGUGUAAUAUUGUAAAGUCAGUAAUUGUACUGAGAAAUUAUGUCAAGGUCAGUGCUGGAACACCAUGAACCACUUCUUCAACUAAGUGGAAACAUCUGACUGCAAUACUGUACUGCAAGAAUUCAAACUUUGUGACUUGAGUUCUAUUUGAAAUGCAUAGGCAAAGCACUGUCAUGUGAAACCACUCCAGACACUUAAAAUGGGAGACAUUUGCUUUUAUAUUUAUGGAUUUAAAUUUUUUGUGACAUGCAUAAUGAAUGUGAAGAUCACCUAUAUCCUGUGAGUUACCUUGGAUAUACAUUAUCUCUGUCUAUAUCCUAACUGUGUAGAUCAAGUUCAAUGCUGUUUGAGAACAGAUUAUCAAAGCUUCUUCUUAAGUUUGGAGCAGUUUUGAAAAAUACUUUCUGUAUUAGUGAUAUUAAUUAGUAUAUUCAUGUGGGAGAUCUAAUUACUGAGAGGUAACUAUGCAGGAGAUAACAAAUUACUCUUAGUUUUGCUCCAUUCAAAUGUCAUUUGUGCCUUUAUCUUCAGCCUUUCUGGAAUAAAAUAGGGUGUUAAGCAUUUUUUUAAA